AACACUGCCAUGACGACAAGUCAUAGAGGGAAGGACUCUCUCUAUUCAGUAUGGUUCUAGAAAGGUUAGAGGGACGUCUACAGGAACUAGAUGCUGACAGACCACGUCUGAAAAGGCAAGCACAGAGCAGAGAAUAAACUCGGAGAGGAGGGACAGGUUUCGACCGAGCUCUUUCGAACAGCAAGGGCACAUUACUUUAACGUCCAAAAUCAGUGUCACGAACAGACAACCAAGUGCUUUGAUGUGCAAAACUAUUCUCUCCUGCUGAUACCAAGAUAAAAGGCCAGGAACCCAUAGGCUUCUAGGAGGGAAGAGGAUCCUAUACUGACAGCAGGAGAGGAAAGAAGGACCUCCAGUCUAAACCUUGAUGAAAGUGAGUAACUCAGGGGUCACCAGGGCUUUGAGAACAUCUGCAGUAUGAAUGGCAACCCUGCCUAACAUCACCUUGAUUUCAGGCUUAGGAGAUGCUACUGUUGAAGUCUUAGCCUCAGAACUGUGAGAGCACAGGUAUGUUUAUCUACAGUACCACAGAGAAGGGGUGUAUUGUCUUAUGCGCCAAUAGGAAGCUACAAAAGCUAGAGAACUCACAAGAAGUUUGUUAAUAUAUUUAGAGAGAUGAAUCUGUUCAAAGUGACACCAAGUAAAUUUCUAAUUCUAAAGUCAUGCCAUUUAUAAAACUCCAUUUCAUUUGAAAUUCUGUUCUAGAUAUUUGAGGGAAAUUAUAUACUGUAAUUACUCAGUAGCUUUUCCUAGAGAGUAACUGAUUUACUAAGUAAGAAAAUUACAGUAAACUGUAGUAUUUGGGAAAUGUCUUCUUUGAGUCAUUUCCUGAUUUAUAAACUAGCAAAGAAAAGUAACUUGGCUUCUAGUAACUAGGCGAACAGGCAACAAUUAAGAAAUACCAGUUCAUAAAUUGAGUUCUAUGAGAGUCAGUGAAUAUUCAGUUAUACAGAGGGUGAAACAGUUUUAGUCUCAAAAGUUCUGCAUAAUAUUUUUAGUGUUUUGAUCGUAGAAAAUAAAUGAGAAAACCGAGAAGGUAUUCUUAGUCAUUGUUAUUUCCAAUGUCAAAUUUAUAAUACAAUACACAUAUAUCAUGGAAAUGAUAUGGAUGAUCAUAUAAAAUUCACAGAUCCAAGUAAAACGGUGAAAACUAAACUCCGAUUGUGUUUUGGUGUGUGCACUGUUCCGUGGUGGUGUAAGGAAGGCAGCUCAGCAGUUAAGUGCACGUACUCUUCUUGCAGAAGACACAAGUUUGGUUUUCUGAACCCACAUGGCAGGUAACAGCAGCGACUGAAGUUCCAGGUGACCCCCUCUCAUGAAGUCCAAGGGAGCUGCAUGUUCAUGGUGCACAGACAUAGGCGAAAUACUCAUAUGGAUAAAAUUAAAAUAAACAGAU
ensembl:lncRNA LOC102550064 uncharacterized LOC102550064